CUGGAAACCCAAGUAAAAUAUCUCUGAUUUAAAAUGAGAUUGAAGCUCCUUUUUGGCCUAAGACAUCUUGCAAGCUUUAUAUUUUUGCUGGAUUUCACCAGGACAGAAUAUUUAUUCUGGCCCCAGGUAAAACCUAAUCCAGUUAUCCCAGUGCCAGAGUGUGUGUGGACAGCAGCAGCACAGCUUCAGAAAAUUCAUCUUCAUAUGGUUUCCCAAACUGAUAUACAGCAAACUGAUGUACAAGAUGCCAUUUGGCUUCACUUCACUGC
rnacentral:lncRNA from 1 species